rnacentral:rRNA from 1 species
GAUGAACGCUGGCGGCGUGCCUAAUACAUGCAAGUCGAGCGAACAGAUAAGGAGCUUGCUCCUUUGACGUUAGCGGCGGACGGGUGAGUAACACGCGGGUAACCUACCUAUAAGACUGGAAUAACUCCGGGAAACCGGGGCUAAUGCCGGAUAACAUGUUGAACCGCAUGGUUCUACAGUGAAAGGCGGCUUUGCUGUCACUUAUAGAUGGACCCGCGCCGUAUUAGCUAGUUGGUGAGGUAACGGCUCACCAAGGCAACGAUACGUAGCCGACCUGAGAGGGUGAUCGGCCACACUGGAACUGAGACACGGUCCAGACUCCUACGGGAGGCAGCAGUAGGGAAUCUUCCGCAAUGGGCGAAAGCCUGACGGAGCAACGCCGCGUGAGUGAUGAAGGUCUUCGGAUCGUAAAACUCUGUUAUUAGGGAAGAACAAAUGCGUAAGUAACUGUGCGCGUCUUGACGGUACCUAAUCAGAAAGCCACGGCUAACUACGUG